rnacentral:rRNA from 1 species
AUGGGAUAUGGGAUGAAGGAACCCGGCCACCUUGGGAUGGACGCCACGAAAGCGACUAUCUGGACGCCGCCGCCUGGCGCGGGCCAGGAAACCUUUAGAGAAGUUGAAGCUGAGCAUCAAAGUUUGGAAUAUUUUUACCAACAACCAAGAGAUUCCCAUGCCCUAGGGCCCGGUCAUGUGCAGGGCUGCGGCAAGGACAGCGAUUGCGGGAGCUCCGAGGCCGGGAGCUAUGAGUCGGUUCACCACCACGAGCACCCAGGCGACGGCGAGGGUGAUGAUGCCGAUGAUCUUGAUGCUGAGGCUAAGGGUGAGGGUGAGGGAGAGGAUGAAGGCGAGGACAAGCUCUGUGAGGAGAGCGAGUUUGUUGAGGGGUUUGUUGAGGUGAGGAUGAGGAACCAGAGCUAG